rnacentral:lncRNA from 1 species
UGUAAUUUAGUACAAUUCAGUAUAGUUCAGUUCAGUUUGAUAAAACAAAAAACAGUUCAGUUCAGUUUGUCUAACUGUUUUACAGUUCAGUUCAGUUUGUCUGAACUGUUUUAUAGUUCAGUUCAGUUUUUAACAGUGCAGUACAGUUCAGUUCGAUUUGCCCACCCCUACAGUAGGAUAUCUUGCUUUUUUUUAGACAUGCGUCAAUCCACUUUCUCGUUUUUUUUUUAUUUUUUAUGGAACGUGCAAUAUUUUGUUUCUCAUUUUUUUUCUUAUUUCUAUAUAGCUGACAUGAAUUACAUGAUUAAAAUACAAUUUUAUUCGUAAG